UACAGAGGUCUCAAGCGUUGUUCGGAUUCAUUGGGCGUAAAGGGUGCGCAGGCGGAUAUGUAAGUCAGUGGUGAAAUCUUUGGGCUUAACCCGAAAAUUGCCAUUGAUACUAUAUAUCUUGAAUGCUGUGGAGGUAAGCGGAAUAUGUCAUGUAGCGGUGAAAUGCUUAGAGAUGACAUAGAACACCUAUUGCGAAGGCAGCUUACUACGCAGAGAUUGACGCUCAUGCACGAAAGCGUGGGGAUCAAACAGG
rnacentral:rRNA from 1 species